rnacentral:rRNA from 1 species
AUUGAACGCUGGCGGAAUGCUUUACACAUGCAAGUCGAACGGCAGCACGGGGCAACCUGGUGGCGAGUGGCGAACGGGUGAGUAAUACAUCGGAACGUGCCCAAUCGUGGGGGGAUAACGUAGCGAAAGUUACGCUAAUACCGCAUACGAUCUACGGAUGAAAGCGGGGGAUCGCAAGACCUCGCGCGAAUGGAGCGGCCGAUGUCAGAUUAGGUAGUUGGUGGGGUAAAGGCUCACCAAGCCGACGAUCUGUAGCUGGUCUGAGAGGACGACCAGCCACACUGGGACUGAGACACGGCCCAGACUCCUACGGGAGGCAGCAGUGGGGAAUUUUGGACAAUGGGCGCAAGCCUGAUCCAGCCAUUCCGCGUGCA